GGGUUGUGAGGUUAAGCGACUAAGCGUACACGGUGGAUGCCCUGGCAGUCAGAGGCGAUGAAGGACGUGCUAAUCUGCGAUAAGCGUCGGUAAGGUGAUAUGAACCGUUAUAACCGGCGAUUUCCGAAUGGGGAAACCCAGUGUGAUUCGUCACACUAUCAUUAACUGAAUCCAUAGGUUAAUGAGGCGAACCGGGGGAACUGAAACAUCUAAGUACCCCGAGGAAAAGAAAUCAACCGAGAUUCCCCCAGUAGCGGCGAGCGAACGGGGAGCAGCCCAGAGCCUGAAUCAGUGUGUGUGUUAGUGGAAGCGUCUGGAAAGGCGCGCGAUACAGGGUGACAGCCCCGUACACAAAAAUGCACAUGCUGUGAGCUCGAUGAGUAGGGCGGGACACGUGGUAUCCUGUCUGAAUAUGGGGGGACCAUCCUCCAAGGCUAAAUACUCCUGACUGACCGAUAGUGAACCAGUACCGUGAGGGAAAGGCGAAAAGAACCCCGGCGAGGGGAGUGAAAAAGAACCUGAAACCGUGUACGUACAAGCAGUGGGAGCACGCUUAGGCGUGUGACUGCGUACCUUUUGUAUAAUGGGUCAGCGACUUAUAUUCUGUAGCAAGGUUAACCGAAUAGGGGAGCCGAAGGGAAACCGAGUCUUAACUGGGCGUUAAGUUGCAGGGUAUAGACCCGAAACCCGGUGAUCUAGCCAUGGGCAGGUUGAAGGUUGGGUAACACUAACUGGAGGACCGAACCGACUAAUGUUGAAAAAUUAGCGGAUGACUUGUGGCUGGGGGUGAAAGGCCAAUCAAACCGGGAGAUAGCUGGUUCUCCCCGAAAGCUAUUUAGGUAGCGCCUCGUGAAUUCAUCUCCGGGGGUAGAGCACUGUUUCGGCAAGGGGGUCAUCCCGACUUACCAACCCGAUGCAAACUGCGAAUACCGGAGAAUGUUAUCACGGGAGACACACGGCGGGUGCUAACGUCCGUCGUGAAGAGGGAAACAACCCAGACCGCCAG
rnacentral:rRNA from 1 species